rnacentral:tRNA from 1 species
GCCCCCGUAGCUCAGCUGGAUAGAGCAUCGGACUUCUAAUCCGACGGUCGCUGGUUCGAAUCCAGCCGGGGGCGCUA